AACAGGAUUAGAUACCCUUAGUCACGCCGUAAAAUGAUGUCGACUGGAGGUUGUUCCCUUGAGGAGUGGCUUCCGGAGCUAACGCGUUAAGUCGACCGCCUGGGGAGUACGGGCCGCAAGGUUACAACUCAAAUGAAUUAGACGGGGGCCCGCACAAGCGGUGGAGCAUGUGGUUUAAUUCGAUGCAACGCGAAGAACCUUACCUACUCUUGACAUCCAGCGAACUUUCCAGAGAUGGAUUGGUGCCUUCGGGAACGCUGAGACAGGUGCUGCAUGGCUGUCGUCAGCUCGUGUUGUGAAAUGUUGGGUUAAGUCCCGCAACGAGCGCAACCCUUAUCCUUUGUUGCCAGCGAUUCGGUCGGGAACUCAAAGGAGACUGCUGGUGAUAAACCGGAGGAAGGUGGGGAUGACGUCAAGUCAUCAUGGCCCUUACGAGUAGGGCUACACACGUGCUACAAUGGCGCAUACAAAGAGAAGCGACCUCGCGAGAGCAAGCGGACCUCACAAAGUGCGUCGUAGUCCGGAUCGGAGUCUGCAACUCGACUCCGUGAAGU
rnacentral:rRNA from 1 species